AUUGAACGCUGGCGGCAUGCUUUACACAUGCAAGUCGAACGGUAACAGGACGCAAGGUGCUGACGAGUGGCGAACGGGUGAGUAAUGCAUCGGAACGUGCCCAGUCGUGGGGGAUAACUGCUCGAAAGAGCAGCUAAUACCGCAUACGAUCUAUGGAUGAAAGCGGGGGACCGUCAGGCCUCGCGCGAUUGUAGCGGCCGAUGUCAGAUUAGGUAGUUGGUGGGGUAAGGGCUCACCAAGCCAACGAUCGGUAGCGGGUCUGAUAGGACGACCAGCAACACUGGGACUGAGACAGGGCCCAGACUCCUACGGGAGGCAGCAGUGGGGAAUUUUGGACAAUGGGGGCAACCCUGAUCCAGCAAUGCCGCGUGCAGGAAGAAGGCCUUCGGGUUGUAAACUGCUUUUGUACGGAACGAAACGGUCUGGGUUAAUACCCUGGGCUAAUGACGGUACCGUAAGAAUAAGCACCGGCUAACUACGUGCCAGCCGCCGCCGUAACAC
rnacentral:rRNA from 1 species